rnacentral:rRNA from 1 species
AAUAGAUACCCCGGUAGUCCACGCCGUAAACGGUGGGCACUAGGUGUGGGCGACAUUCCACGUCGUCCGUGCCGCAGCUAACGCAUUAAGUGCCCCGCCUGGGGAGUACGGCCGCAAGGCUAAAACUCAAAGGAAUUGACGGGGGGCCCGCACAAGCGGCGGAGCAUGUGGCUUAAUUCGACGCAACGCGAAGAACCUUACCAAGGCUUGACAUACACCGGAAAGCACCAGAGAUGGUGCCCCCCUUGUGGUCGGUGUACAGGUGGUGCAUGGCUGUCGUCAGCUCGUGUCGUGAGAUGUUGGGUUAAGUCCCGCAACGAGCGCAACCCUUGUCCCGUGUUGCCAGCAGGCCCUUGUGGUGCUGGGGACUCACGGGAGACCGCCGGGGUCAACUCGGAGGAAGGUGGGGACGACGUCAAGUCAUCAUGCCCCUUAUGUCUUGGGCUGCACACGUGCUACAAUGGCCGGUACAAUGAGCUGCGAUACCGCGAGGUGGAGCGAAUCUCAAAAAGCCGGUCUCAGUUCGGAUUGGGGU